rnacentral:antisense_RNA from 1 species
ACUGAUUCUUGCUGUUCCAGUUUGUCUGGGGAAAUAAAUUCAAGCUGUUACAACUUAAUACAUCAAUUGCCAUGGUGGAAGUAUGAAAAAACAAUGCCUGGAUAUAUAGAAGCAGGAAGAAUAUUCUCUCUUUUAUGAGAUAAGAAGUUGAAGGGUUAGUUGUGAGGCCCAAGUUAAAAUAAGCACAAAUUGAAAAUAUAAAGUGCUGUAGAAACAUGAGCCAAGGCAAUGAUGCUGGAACUCACCGUAGACCCCUGGAUGCUGUCUGCAUUGGUGCAGCGCAGCUUCCUUUCUUCACAAAAUGACUACAGAAUUCUACUAACAAGUCAUGUGGCUAUGCCUGCCGCCGAAGAGAGAACCCUGAGUCACAAGUACACAAAUGAAAUGCGAUUCUCUUUGUGGGUUGCAUCGUAUGAUUUGGAGCAAGUCUUCAGGUCUAAUAUAAAGAUCCUUCAAAUAAAUCAUCCAGCUAAGCUUCUGUGGCCCCAAACUCCUAAUUUAAAAAUGUUGAUAAAUGAAGUACCUCUUUAGUUAAUAAAUGAAGUAUCUCCUUAGUU